AAAUUGACACCGUAACUUCGGGAGAAGGUGUGCCGCUGGCGGUUAGUGACUUCGCGUCACGAAGCUGUUGGUGGUCGCAGUGAAAUGGCGGUUGUGACUGUUUACUAAAAACACAGGACUCUGCGAAGUCUUAAGACGACGUAUAGGGUCUGAUGCCUGCCCGGUGCUGGAAGGUUAAGGGGAUAUGUCAGCGCAAGCGAAGCAUUGAACCGAAGCCCCAGUAAACGGCGGCCGUAACUAUAACGGUCCUAAGGUAGCGAAAUUCCUUGUCGGGUAAGUUCCGACCUGCACGAAGGGCAUAACAACAUCCGCACUGUCUCGACCAGGGACUCAGCGAAAUUACAUUGGGGGUGAAGAUGCCCUCUACCCGCGGAAAGACGGAAAGACCCCAUGAACCUUUACUGCAACUUGGCAGUGAUUUUCGGGUUGUUCUGCGUAGGAUAGGUGGGAGGCUUUGAAGCCGGGCUUCCGGGUUCGGCAGAGCCAACGUUGAAAUACCACCCUGAAUAAUCUGGAAAUCUAACCUGCGCCCAUGAUCUGGGCGAGGGACACCGCCUGGUGGGCAGUUUGACUGGGGCGGUCGCCUCCUAAAUUGUAACGGAGGCGUGCGACGGUUCCCUCAGGCUGAUUGGAAACCAGCCGUAGAGUGCAAACGCAUAAGGGAGCUUUACUGCGAGACUGACAAGUCGACCAGUUGCGAAAGCAGGUGUUAGUGAUCCGGUGGUACCACAUGGAAGGGCCAUCGCUCAUCGGAUAAAAGGUACUCUGGGGAUAACAGGCUGAUCGCGCCUGAGAGUUCACAUCGGCGGCGCGGUUUGGCACCUCGAUGUCGGCUCAUCGCAUCCUGGGGCUGGAGCAGGUCCCAAGGGUUUGGCUGUUCGCCAAUUAAAGCGGUACGCGAGCUGGGUUUAAAACGUCGUGAGACAGUUUGGUCCCUAUCUUCCGUGGGCGCAGGACACUUGAGAGGAGCUAUCCAUAGUACGAGAGGACCUGGAUGGACGAACCUCUGGUGCUCCGGUUGUCACGCCAGUGGCAUAGCCGGGUAGCCAUGUUCGGAACAGAUAACCGCUGAAGGCAUAUAAGCGGGAAGCUGGCCUCAAGACUAGGUGUCCCUGACGCAAGUCACUAAAGGCCCCUCGAAGACUACGAGGUUGAUAGGCUCGGUGUGGAAGCACAGCGAUGUGCGGAGCUAACGAGUACUAAUAGGCCGUGCGGCUUGACCUC
rnacentral:rRNA from 1 species